CCACGCCUCUCUCCCCCCCCUCCCUCCUCUUCCAGCACCCCGAGGCCGGUGUGAAUGAGGUGUGACCCCCCCCCCGGCCCGAUCCCGCUCGUUACGUGCCUUGCCCACACUCGCAGCGCAGGGCCGGCUCGGUGCACGCAGACCGCUGGGCUUUUCCUUAUUAUUUUACCUUAUUUUUUUUUUUCCCUCCUUCAUCUUUUUAAAUUUUUCUUAUUUUUUUUUUUCCCCACCUCCCCUCCCACUCCUCCCACCCCCAUUUACUCCGCAUCGCCAUCACCACCCCCGAAGAAAACCGAGCGAACCCGAAGCUGCACCCUACGCCCACCCACCAACCCAGCCUCGCAUCGCAGAGGAAAUCCUCACCGUCACCCGACUCUAUCACCGGGGGUUGGGGGGGAGGAGGAGAGCAGCCCUCCCCUCGCACCCCGGCCCUCAGCACCAUGAUGUUUCGAGACCAGGUCGGCGUUCUGGCCGGCUGGUUCAAGGGCUGGAACGAGUGCGAGCAGACUGUUGCGCUGCUCUCGCUGCUCAAACGCGUGAGCCGGACCCAGGCGCGCUUCCUGCAGCUCUGCCUGGAGCACUCGCUGGCGGACUGCACCGAGCUGCACGUCCUCGAAGGGGAGGCCAACAACCCCGGAAUCAUUAACCAAUGGCAACAGGAAUCCAAGGAUAAAGUGAUAUCCCUAUUGUUAACCCACCUGCCUUUACUGAAGCCCGGAAACAUCGAAGCAAAAGUCGAAUACAUGAAACUCUUGCCUAAAAUCCUGGCCCACUCGAUCGAACACAACCAACACAUCGAGGAGAGCAGGCAGCUGUUGUCCUACGCCUUGAUCCACCCGGCCACCUCACUGGAGGACCGCAGCGCUCUGGCCAUGUGGCUCAACCACCUGGAGGACCGCACGUCGGGGACCUUUGGCAGCCAGGGCAGGGGCCGUUCGGACUCUGUGGACUACGGGCAGACUCACUACUAUCACCAAAGACAGAACUCCGAUGAUAAACUCAACGGAUGGCAAAACUCUCGAGACUCGGGCAUAAGCGUCAGCGCUUCCAGCUGGCAGGACAAAAACCUGGCCUGCGAGAACGGCCAUCUGCCCCUCUACUCCUCCUCCUCCGUCCCCACCACCAUCAACACCAUCGGCACUAGCACAAGCACCAUUCUCUCAGGCCAGACACACCACAGCCCUUUGAAACGCUCUGUGUCCCUUACCCCACCCAUGAAUGUGCCAAACCAGCCUCUAGGACAUGGAUGGAUGUCUCAUGAGGACUUACGAGCUAGAGGACCCCAGUGCAUCCCUUCCGAUCAUGCCCCCCUGUCUCCACAAAGCAGUGUAGCCUCUUCGGGAAGUGGUGGGAGUGAACAUUUAGAAGAUCAGCCUUCCGCUCGUAACACAUUCCAGGAGGAAGGGAGUGGUAUGAAAGAUGUUCCAGCCUGGCUGAAGAGUCUCCGGCUGCACAAGUACGCCGCGCUCUUCUCACAGAUGACGUACGAGGAGAUGAUGGCCCUCACUGAAUGCCAGCUCGAGGCACAAAACGUUACCAAAGGCGCAAGACACAAAAUAGUCAUCAGCAUCCAAAAGCUAAAAGAAAGACAAAACCUGCUCAAAUCAUUAGAAAGGGACAUCCUGGAAGGUGGCAACCUGCGUGUCCCGCUGCAGGAACUACACCAAAUGAUCCUCACCCCCAUCAAAGCCUACUCUUCCCAAAUCUCCAGCCCGGAGGAGCACAGCCGGGACACGGACUCACAUCAUCCCCCCUCCCUGCUGGGCUCAGACAGCCAGGGCUCCGAUGGCAAGGACUCUGCAGCGGGGGGCAUGCAGCAGCAUCACCUGCCGGGCUGUGAGGGCGAGUCGGGGGGAGGCCCUUUGCCUGAAGGUGACCUGCCUGGACAGUUCACAAGGGUGAUGGGGAAAGUGUGCACACAACUUUUAGUUUCCCGACCAGAUGAAGAGAAUAUAAGCUCCUAUUUACAGCUUAUAGACAAAUGUCUAAUACACGAGGCGUUUACAGAGAUACAGAAGAAACGGCUGUUGUCAUGGAAACAGCAGGUGCAAAAACUCUUUAGGUCUUUCCCUCGGAAAUCCCUCCUGGAGCUGUCAGGCUAUCGGCAGCAGCGGAGCCGAGGCUUUGGGCAGUCCAACUCCUUACCUACAGCCGGAUCCGCCGGGGCAGGGCUGGGCAGACGAAACCCCCGCCAGUUCCAGAUCCCCUCCCGCAACCUCCCCACUGCCCGCCUGGGGCUGCUGGGUCCCAGUGGGCUGCUGGGCACCCCACAGCGCAGCCCUGCCACCAGCCCUGCCAUCCUCAAGCAAGGCAGACAGAACCUCUGGUUUGCCAACCCUGGGGGCAGCAACAGCAUGCCCAGCAGGAGCCACAGCUCAGUGCAGAGGACGCGCUCGCUGCCAGUGCACACCUCCCCGCAGACCAUGCUGAUGUUCCAGCAGCCAGAGUUCCAGGUGCCGGUGACUGAACCUGACAUCAACAACAGGCUGGAGUCCCUGUGCCUGAGCAUGACGGAGCACGCGCUCAGCGGUGAGCACUCCCUCCUCCUUGGGCUCUUCCAGCACGUCCAGGCGGCCUCAGCCAAGCCCCCCAGGGGCUGCCCCACGCCCCCCAAGGGCUGGGACCAGCUUUGGCUGUGAGAGAUGAGACAGGGUGGGAUGGUUGCUGCUCCCACGGAGAGGUCUCAGCCAGCUCUGUCGGGACAGAGGGGUAAAACUAAACGCAGGGAUUGCGCCCGGCGCUGGCAAAGCCUGUGCUUUUAGCCACUAGUUAGCUUGCUAAUCAUCAUUAGUGUUAGCUCACUAGUCUGCUGUUAAUUAAUGACAAAGCCACCCAAGCUCUCGAAUGGUGCACAGGCUUCAGAGUGCUCUACCCCUCUGCCAGCCCAAGCCCUGCUUUGCUGAGGGGACACGGGGACCCCCAGGGCUGCAGCCAUCCCUUUGGGGUCGCGGUGAUGCUGGCAGCCUGGGUGGGGACAAGGAGCAGGGAGGGAGGAGGAGGUCCAGGCUGCAAGCAGUGCAAGAGGGGAGCCCAGGGAGGCACCGGACACGCCGUGACGCAGCGGACCCGGAUGGCGUGGGGACGCCAGGAUGGGACGAGCCGAGCAGCCCGCGUCGCCCAGAGCCUCCUGAAUACGCGGCCCCAAAAACCACAGACUGUCGGAUGGUGGAGGAUGGGAACCCACGGGGAGGACAAGGCUCCCUGCAGCGAUGGCACUGCCCAGGGACAGGGACGUGGGAGCGAGGACUGGACGUGGCAGCAGGGUGCUGGCUGUGGGCACAAGGACACUGCUGUCACCGACGCGUUCCUGCGGCGCGCGCCCAGGCGAGGCUUAGCUGUGUUGUUCCUGUGCAGGACGGUGUCGACCGGACCUCCACCAUCUAGAGGAGGACAGCCUGAUGGCGGCGGUGCUGAUGGGAGAAGAACUGCUGCAGGUCCAGCGGAGAGGUCCAGGCACGGGAGCCUCAGUGACAGCUUGCAUCCUUUCUGUCUUUCUCUCUCUUCCUCUCUUUUCUCCUGUUUUAAUUUGGUGAACGUGUAGAUUGUCCUUGUGAACAUACCAUUAGACUUGGAA